AGGGCGGGUCAAAAGUCACCAGAGUCCUGUUUUUCUGUUAGGGUCCUGUAUUGAAUUCAAACAUGAGCAGCACAGCUGUGGUAACACUCGCCUUCGGCAUCCUGAAGGACACCCAGGGAGAAACCGCUUUCAUCUUUUUGGGGGUCGCAUCUUUAUGCGGGGUCAUUCUAUCAGGAAUGCAGAACGGACAAGUCCGGACGACAGCGUAAGCCUCUCGCUAAAAACACCAACCCUCACAGCUACCAGAACUCAAACUCGACGUAUCGUCUUGACCAAAGGAAGAGGACAUCAGGAUGUUGCAAAGGCGACUCAGACCUCACAGGCGCCGCCGCCCGGAAUUUGUGUUGAGACAAAACAAGCGUCAUCGCCAUCAGCGGCCCUCACUUUCAACCUGCUGUGUCAACAGCCGGCUGGAAUGCAGGAGCGGUUGCCACUCGUGGACAUCUAAACGUACGACUGCCUCUUAUCUGCAGUAUUUCAUCACGCAAGAUAUGAUUCACAUGAGGACAAAACAAGCUGCUAUUCCUGGAAAAAAAAACUGCUUUGCUGUCGUGUUAAAAAAAAUGCAUUGGUCAGUGGAGAAGAUUGGCUGAAAUGACAUAAAUGCAGCACUUAAGCCUCACACUACUUAACAGUAAAUCACUCAAUUACUACUUAAAACUACCUUUGUUCAUUUUUAACAUAACUGCAUGCCUUCACAGCACUUUCUCAUGAAGGCUUAACACUUAUAAAUAUAAACAAAAAUAGGUUUAAAACUAAUGGGUUCACUUAUCAUGAAAAUUAGCAUUUCCAUCAUUAAAGCUGCAGAGGGAGGCGGGGCUACACCUGUGGCUUCAAAGCCAUAUUUGUUUAUUAAACCACUAUACAUUCAUUUUACCAUGAAUUGAUUUAAACAAGUUGAAAAACUUAUUCGGGUGUUACCAUUUAGUGGUCAAUUGUACGGAAUAUGUACUGAACUGUGCAAUCUACUAAUAAAACUUUCAAUCAAUCAUAAACACAACUGUAUGUGGCGAUAUUAGCACAGACGCUAAUGCUAACACAACACAAGGGGUAUCCUGGCUGGUACAAUAUUUGAGGUUGUCAUGGUUACAAC